rnacentral:ncRNA from 2 species
GUCUGUGGUUAAGCGCCUGGACUGGUCGCAAGCCAGUUGACGAGGUCGGGGGAGGAUCGAAGCUAUCGGCGGAUGCCCCCGGGCCCCGGAAGAUGGGCCAAUCAGUCGUCCCACAAAGCCGCGGAGCGAUCUGCGGGACAAAGGGGGCGACGAUCUUCUGU